CCUACGGGAGGCAGCAGUGGGGAAUAUUGGACAAUGGGCGCAAGCCUGAUCCAGCCAUGCCGCGUGGGUGAAGAAGGCCUUCGGGUUGUAAAGCCCUUUUGUCCGGAAAGAAAAGCUCCUGAUUAAUACUCGGGGGUCAUGACGGUACCGGAAGAAUAAGCACCGGCUAACUUCGUGCCAGCAGCCGCGGUAAU
rnacentral:rRNA from 1 species